AUCUAAGAAGAUUGACAGAGAGACUGUGUCCAGCACAAAAUGCUUUAGAGAAAGAAAUCAUGGGGGUGAAUCUUAUGCUGCAGGACUCAUAUAUAACAGGACAAGAAAGUACAAAGAAGACUUCACUCUAGGUCUCUGUUACUUAAAUUAACCAACCUUAUUUUCCUCAGAUGGCUUUGUCAAACUUGUAUUUGUCCCUGGGGUAAAGGGCUUCAAUGCUGAGCAUCGAGCAUAAGGAGUUGGAGAAAGAGAUGUGGGUGAUUUACCUCUGCCAUAGAUAUCGGAUUGGCAAAAAUAAAUGAAUUUCAUCUGAAGAGAAUUAACACAAGCAUACACAUAUACACAGGAGUGCACAUAAAAAUUAAUCUUCAAGAGGAUAGAAACAGGGGAUGGUGUAGUUCCUGCCAUGAAGUACAGAUCAACUGGUACCAGAGAUUCAAAAUUGUGGAAUGGAUCAUGGGGAUUUCUCUCUUCCCUGUCAUAAAGAGUAAUUCAAUCAGGAAAACUGACAUGCAUUGUUGUAUUGUGGGUGCAACAGCUGAGAAGAUGAAAAAGACAUAGAGAAAGGGGAUAUUGGAAAUAAAAGGAUGUUAAAAUGAUAUAAUUUUUAAGAAGGUUGAGAAGGAAUAUGGGAUAUUUAUAUUCCUCUAAAUUUGAUAGAUAAUGAUGUCCACAAAGAAGAGUUUGCUGAAAUAAUUUUAAAUUUUGGUGAGCACAGACUAUCAAUGCCAAACGCAAUGGGUAAUUUUCUGUGUCAGCUUGGCUAGGCUGUGAUCUCCAAGUGUUUGUUCAAACAGCAAUCGUAGAUGUCCUUGUGAAGGUAUUUUUAGGUAAGAUUAACAUUUAAAUCAGUAGUCUUUGAGUAAAGCAGAUGACCUGCAAUAAUGUGAGUGGGUCUCAAAUUUGUUUUAAGUUGAAGGCCUUAAGAGAGAAAGAUUAAGGUCAUCCAUGAAAGAGGGAAUUCUGCUACCAGAUUGCAUUUGGACUCAAGCUGCAAUAUCAGCUCUUCCCUGGGUCUCCAACCUGACAGCCUGUCCUAUAGAUAAGAGCUUGCCAGUCCCCACAAUCACAUGACACAUGAGCCAGUCCUUUUUUUUUUAGCCAAUUCUUUAAAAUUCUUCUCCUCUCUCUCUCUCUCUCUCCCCCGCCUCUCCCUCUCUCUCUCCCUUCUUUCUCUGUGUAUACACAUGCACGCGUGCACGCGCGCACACACACACACACACACACACACUCAUCCUAUUAGUUCCGUUUCUCUGGAGAACCCAGACUAAUGUACUUCCUCAGUAAUUGUUUUAGCAUUCUGGAUUCUGUUACUUUACUAUCAGCCUUAAAAUUGCAAAAAGAAGAAGGAAAGUUUUAUCAACCAUUUCAGACACUAAGUUUUCAGCCUUUUGGGAUCAAGGAAAAUACAAUCCAUAUGUUUUGGACUCACUUGCUAUUAUCCAGAACAUUAUAUCGGAGAUGGUUUAAAAUUUCUGGCUGGUUCAAUAUACGCAAAUCAAUAAAUGUAAUCCAGCAUAUAAACAGAACCAAAGACAAAAACCACAUGAUUAUCUCAAUAGAUGCAG
rnacentral:lncRNA from 1 species